CCCGUCACUUGGUAUCUGGGCUAGAGUAACUCCCAAAGAAUAAAACUCUCAACUCUGAUGGUUUUAAAAGAAAAAGAGAAAGAAAUUGAUGCGGUUUUAGUUUUGUCCUGAUGCAAUAGGGAAACUCCGCCCACUUAAAGGGAGUGGAAUAAACCUCUUAUCAUUUGAAGCAGCUACAGAGUUCUUCUGGUUCUUGCAGGCACACUGCAGACACCAGCAUUCUGGCCGACUCCCUUUCGCCAAGGCAGCUGAGUCAUGGUGGUGAUCAACAUGGAACCCCUCCAGGCUGAGAUGCCAGGAGUGGCCACAAAGGGAUGAUGGCAUUUACCUGAGAAACUGGGUGUGUCAAAUCCUAUACCAUGUUUGUGUUAAAUGUUCAGAGAAAUGGACCACUGCAACCUAUGUCAAACAAAAACUGAGAUUAUAGCAGUUUUCAACGUUUGCAAAGCAGAAAACCUGUAUCCAUGGAUACAAACUCUUUAAGAUCACUAAAAUCAUUUCACAAAGAAAUCUUGAAGAGGUAAAUAAUAAUUCUGUCUUAUUUACAGAGAAUCCAGGGUAGGAAGGUGUAUGAUUCUUCAUGAAGAUGCACCUGGUCUCAAACCUUGUCAUCUUGGUCUGUAAAUUCCUAUCAUUGACAUUUGUGUUUUCCUUUUACAAGGCAUCUCCACACCUUCCCAUUUUCAGUUAAUUCUUAGAGGGGUCCUCAGAAUCCAUUUCUGUAAUGGGCUGAGAGGCUGUGCAUUGUACUAAUUGGGAACCAAGAUUCUGGGGUCAGACUAUUUGAUUGGAAUCUCCUCUCUACUUUGUAGCUGUGUGACCUGAGCAAGUUGUUUUACCCUCUCUGAGCUUCAGUUACCCCAUAGAGGGCUAUAGGAUUAUACGAGAUGAUACAUGUAAGGAAUCUAGCACAGUACCUAGCCCAAAGGCCUAGUAAAUACUAGACACAAUUUGUAUUUAUUACCAACUAAACACCUAAAGGAAUUUUAAUUGCAUUUGCUUCACCAGUUUUUCUUUUCAUGCUCAAUCUAGUCAGGAUAGUUUUUGGUUUGGA
ensembl:lncRNA